rnacentral:rRNA from 1 species
UGGGGAAUAUUGCACAAUGGGCGCAAGCCUGAUGCAGCCAUGCCGCGUGUGUGAAGAAGGCCUUCGGGUUGUAAAGCACUUUCAGCGAGGAGGAAGGUGGUGAGCUUAAUACGCUCAUCAAUUGACGUUACUCGCAGAAGAAGCACCGGCUAACUCCGUGCCAGCAGCCGCGGUAAUACGGAGGGUGCAAGCGUUAAUCGGAAUUACUGGGCGUAAAGCGCACGCAGGCGGUUUGUUAAGUCAGAUGUGAAAUCCCCGGGCUCAACCUGGGAACUGCAUUUGAAACUGGCAAGCUAGAGUCUCGUAGAGGGGGUAGAAUUCCAGGUGUAGCGGUGAAAUGCGUAGAGAUCUGGAGGAAUACCGGUGGCGAAGGCGGCCCCCUGGACGAAGACUGACGCUCAGGUGCGAAAGCGUGGGGCAGCAAACAGGAUUAGAUACCCUGGUAGUCCACGCUGUAAAACGAUGUCGAUUUGGAGGUUGUGCCCUUGAGGCGUGGCUUCCGGAGCUAACGCGUUAAAUCGACCGCCUGGGGAGUACGGCCGCAAGGUUAAAACUCAAAGGAAUUG